UCUGCAGGUGGCUCCAGAGCCUGAGGGAAGCAGCUGCCAUCUUCCCAAGGGGCAGAGCAACCUCUCCAUCCCCGCGGGCGGGGAAGCAGCUCCCAUCCAGGCCAGAAGGCGGAAGUGCCCAGCCUUCUGGUGAACAAAACCAGCUCCCGGCGCAGGCGCCAAGCUGGGAGAGGCCCUGACCAGGUGCAGAUGGAGCUGGCUCAGGAUGCGGUUUCGAAGACAGGACCCAGCCCAGGAGGGAUACGGGGCAGGGAGGCUCUGGGGCUUGUUGUGUGGGCAGCAGCGGCCUCAGGAGCCCAGCCCUCAUUCCCAACAGGAGGCAUCGCCCUGCCCAGUCACUGAGGACCUUCCAGCCCCCUCAGGCCAGGAUGUGGAAGAUCCCUGUCCCAGCACCAGCAGCUCAGCAUGGCACAGCAGCAGCGCCUGGGACUCUGGCAGCAGCAACGCUGAUGGACGCUGCUGCUUUGUUCCAGGGACCACCAGAGAUUCAGAGGAGGAGGAAUGGCUGGACAUGUCCACAGAUGAAGAUGCUCUCAUGGUCAUCAGAGAGCAGCUCCAGUGCAGGGAAAAGGAUGAGGGGAAGCAGCUCAUGUUCCUGAUGGCCAUCGACCCCGCGUGUCUUGCUGCACAGAACAGAGGGCAGGACACGCUGGAGCCGCGCUGGAGCCGCGCUGCUGCAAGGCAGCUGUGGUGGAGAGGAUUGUGAUGAGAGCUCAUUGAGGAGCUUCCUAAAGACUCUCCACCCAGCGCCAUCUGCGCCAACUCCCUGGUUGCAGUGGGCAACCUCAGCAUCAUGAAACCUGCCCUUGAGCCAGACCUAGAGACCCAACUCUUGCGAGCUGCCCUUCGCUGCGUUUUCACCCUGGGCACGGAGAAGGACACCAUCAAUAGCCAGG